AACGGACGAGAAGCUUGCUUCUCUGAUGUUAGCGGCGGACGGGUGAGUAACACGUGGAUAACCUACCUAUAAGACUGGGAUAACUUCGGGAAACCGGAGCUAAUACCGGAUAAUAUUUUGAACCGCAUGGUUCAAAAGUGAAAGACGGUCUUGCUGUCACUUAUAGAUGGAUCCGCGCUGCAUUAGCUAGCUGGUAAGGUAACGGCUUACCAAGGCAACGAUGCAUAGCCGACCUGAGAGGGUGAUCGGCCACACUGGAACUGAGACACGGUCCAGACUCCUACGGGAGGCAGCAGUAGGGAAUCUUCCGCAAUGGGCGAAAGCCUGACGGAGCAACGCCGCGUGAGUGAUGAAGGUCUUCGGAUCGUAAAACUCUGUUAUUAGGGAAGAACAUAUGUGUAAGUAACUGUGCACAUCUUGACGGUACCUAAUCAGAAAGCCACGGCUAACUACGUGCCAGCAGCCGCGGUAAUACGUAGGUGGCAAGCGUUAUCCGGAAUUAUUGGGCGUAAAGCGCGCGUAGGCGGUUUUUUAAGUCUGAUGUGAAAGCCCACGGCUCAACCGUGGAGGGUCAUUGGAAACUGGAAAACUUGAGUGCAGAAGAGGAAAGUGGAAUUCCAUGUGUAGCGGUGAAAUGCGCAGAGAUAUGGAGGAACACCAGUGGCGAAGGCGACUUUCUGGUCUGUAACUGACGCUGAUGUGCGAAAGCGUGGGGAUC
rnacentral:rRNA from 1 species